AUUUCCACUAAUUUUAUUAUAUAGUAAUAAAUAAAAACACAAAAUGUUUUCAUAACAAAUAAAUUUUAUUAUUGUUGUACAUGAUAUUUUUUUGUAGUUAUAUCAAUCCUUGAAUCAUUGAUUGUAAUCAAGUAUUUAAUCUAUACUCGUCACGUGAAUGGUCACAUGAGAUAUUGAAAUCAUUUAUAACCGAGUAUUACGUAUUUCAAGUUCAAUUUAUUAAACAUGGUCAAGGUUAUUCAACGAUGUUUCUCGAGAAAAAUCUAACAUUAGAUAUAUGGAAUGAUAUCAUCAAAUGUAUUGUCAUCAUUUCCAAGAUUCAUCGAUUGACCUGAAUAAUUUUCAAAAUGAAACAUUGUUUUCUCGAAAUUUCGUAACAGAUAUAAAGAAAAGCUCGAUAUAUGUUCGAUGGCAACAAGAUAGAAUUUUUGCAGAAAAAAAGAUUGGAAAACUCGGUAUUUGUUCAUCUUGAAUCACAGGCCAACAAUGUCGAUCGAUAUUCUACGGUAGGUUGGACUUUUAUUGACCGACGUUCGUCACAGCUUUUCAACGCGAUUAUAGAGAAUAGAGUCUAUCGAAACCUGUUCUUUUCUCAAACAUAAAACUCGAAUCGGCAAUUCGUCCGAUGAUCGGAUCGAUUUCCGUUUGCUUCUUUGAAAUCGGUUUCCUCAAUGCAGGAACGCGCAUGUGAUUCGAUUGAGAGACAGACUUUGAAGCACGCCUUCUGCUCGAAAGCGAGAUGAAUCUUCUUUGUCGCGAUUUUGAACCGCGUGCUUUUUUUCCAAGCGUUUAUUCUUUGCCAUGAAUAACGAAACUAACAGAGACGUACUGUAGAGUUCGAAAAGAUGAGAAGGAAAGAAAGGGUUCUUUCGACACAAACAUGUUUCGCGAGAAUGAAAAUCGGAUAUCGUGGCUUAAAGUGAAAAAAGAGACGCGAGAUAUGGAAAAGGAGAAAUUUUAUAUUCGCGAUGAAAGAUUUAUCAAGUUCUUCCUCUCGUUAAUAAGUAAUUUGCUUUUCAAGGGAAGGCUAGUUUCGUUCGAUUCGUCGAAUAAAUUAUUAAAUAUUUACGUUUCUCCUUACUUUCUACGUAAAAUUCUCUCUACUUUCCGUCAGAAAGCUGCAGACCGCAAUUAAUAUCCAGAAGUUUGGCUUUGGUUUCGAAUAUGAACGCGAUAUCGUGUACAAGCAGCAAUUCCGCUGUACGAAAUAACAUUUCUAUAGUUAUAUUUUUAUAGUUAUGAUUCUGUUAUUGCGUCCAUUAAUACAGUGAAAUGAAAUUGCAGUCGUUUUGUUACGAACUUCCAUUGUGGAACAUUCUUUCGUACGAAAGCCACAUCGAAUGAAAAAACGAAGAACGUUUCGAGUUGAGAGAGAACUAGAAAAAAACUCGAAUAUUUUACAGAAGGCGAGAACUACGACAGCUUAAGGAGAAAACACGUUCCACUUUCGUCGUACAAAGCUUGAUCGAGGAAGCGAGAGAAACAUCGUAAAGAAAGAAAAAAAACUAGCGAAGAACGUUUAAAAAGUAGGAAGAUCGAAAUCACUUUUGUUGCUUCGAUCUAUGAAACUUAGUAGCUCUUUAUUUUUAAUGAAAAUAACCGGAUAAGAAUUACGAUCGCAUUUCGCUUCAAUAAUUACAGAUAUUGCUUCUAUUGUUAAUUACUCGCCACGAUUUUAAUUAUAUUUUUAAUUACCUGAUGUAUCGUGUACAGUUCAUCGGUCGUGAAACAUUUUCAAGAAAGCUUCCAAAUUCGUAUCUAUAAUAUUCUCGUUCAAUUAUAUAGCUACUUGUAAGAAAGGUUAGAUUGAGAGAGAUUCGAUACAAUAUCCCUCGAGACAUGUAUCGAGUUUAACAAGUGUUUCUCAUUCGUUCUUUUAGGAAAUAUCGAUAUCGCGCAAAGUCGAAUAUGUGUAUAUACAUCGAAGAAUCGAUCGAGAUAAACGAUCGCGACAGAUAAACAUAAACGCAAUAUGGACGCGUCGCUUGUUCGGAUUCUUUCGCGUGGUUUUCUUUACGAACGUUAUAAACUUUAUUCUCGCAAAGAAUUUAGGAUAUGAGUAGUGCACACUCAAACUAGUCGGAAAUGGGUGUUGUGUAAAAAAUUUCGUUUUCUUGCGCUCGUGCAAGUCGUCCGCUUUCGAAAAAUCAAGAGAAAAGAAAGAAAAGGAUUCUAACCUAGUUCCAUUUGCUUUGAUGAAACGUUGUGUGCGCGGUCACGUGCUUCGCUAAAAAUAAAGCUUGAUUCGAUUAUUUGUUUCGCAGAUAAUUUGUUUCAUAAUUCUUGGCAUAAAAAUCGUGUUAUAUUAUAUAAUCAUGCGAUAAUGGAUAAUCGAGAAACUAUCAAAAUAUCGAUAAAAGAAGAUGAUGAAAAUCUUAGAUUCAGUGGUCUUCGAAUCCUGACUUUAAGCAUAACAAAAAUGAUUUCAUAUUUAUCUACAAAUAUCUCUACAAAUAAUAAAUUCGAUUUGGUGAAUUUUUAAGAUGGCGAACGAAACAAACCUUUUUCGAUUGUAUCCUAGUAUAUGGAAGUAUAGUUAUGGAAAAUUUCUUUCGGAAGAAUUGCAAUAUUAAAGUUUAUCGCAAGAUUUUCCACAAGAUAUGGUGCAUAACAGAGAAACAUAACAGAGAUAGAAAAAGAGGUACGGAUGAAGAUAAAAGUGGAGAAAGUGCUAGAAAAGGAAAAUUGCGGAAAAUCUUACUUCUAAGACUUCGUGACCCCGAAGAAGUUAUCCUUGAAGGUAGCGAGGUGGAAGGACAAAAAAGUAAAGAUGUUCGAAGAAAUCUUUUGACGAGUGGAAUGAGUAAGUUUGGAAGAAGAAACGGAAAAGAAUUUUUUUAAAAGAAGCAUGCACGUUGAACAGAAUGAAGUGUCGAUAAUAUAAAUUGCUACGCAAAUGUAAUUUUUAAAUUUCACCGUUAAAUUAUAUCGGUAAUUCAAUCUCGGUCUAUUUCG